UGCAGCUACUGAAACAAAGAUCAAAAGCGGUUUCGUUAAUCUCCCCAUUUCAAUUUCCUUCUUCGUGAAUUGAUCAUCUCUUUUAGAUGCUUUACUUUUUUUAACUUUCGUUUGGUGGUGGUUUAGUUUCAUCUAUAAAUCCAGGAUGGCGACGGCAAUGGUGGAGGAAUCGAACUUCGAAGAUGACCAGCUUGCGUCUAUGACAACCGAGGACAUUCUUAGAGCCUCUCGUCUUCUCGAUAACGAGAUUCGUAUCCUCAAGGAAGAGUUGCAGAGAACGAAUUUAGAGCUGGAUUCAUAUAAGGAGAAGAUAAAAGAGAAUCAGGAGAAGAUUAAGCUCAACAAGCAG
rnacentral:misc_RNA from 1 species